rnacentral:rRNA from 1 species
GUGGGGAAUAUUGGACAAUGGGGGCAACCCUGAUCCAGCCAUGCCGCGUGUGUGAAGAAGGCCUUCGGGUUGUAAAGCACUUUAAGCGGGGAGGAAGGUUCGCUGGCUAAUAUCCAGCGGAAUUGACGUUACCUGCAGAAUAAGCACCGGCUAACUCUGUGCCAGCAGCCGCGGUAAUACAGAGGGUGCAAGCGUUAAUCGGAAUUACUGGGCGUAAAGCGCGCGUAGGCGGUUGUGUAAGUUGGAGGUGAAAUCCCCGGGCUUAACCUGGGCACUGCCUUCAAAACUGCACGGCUAGAGUAUGGGAGAGGAAGGUAGAAUUCCAGGUGUAGCGGUGAAAUGCGUAGAGAUCUGGAGGAAUACCGAUGGCGAAGGCAGCCUUCUGGCCUAAUACUGACGCUGAGGUGCGAAAGCAUGGGGAGCAAACAGGAUUAGAUACCCUGGUAGUCC